rnacentral:rRNA from 1 species
AAUGAACGCUGGCGGCGUGCCUAAUACAUGCAAGUCGAGCGAACACACUAUGAGUUGGCUCCUCUGACUAUAGCGGCAGACGGGAGAGUCACUCGUGAAUCUCCUACCUAUAGGACUGUGAUUACUUCAGGCUACCGGAACUACUACCUGAUAACUUGUUGAACCGCGUGGCUCAACCUCGAUGCACUGUUUUACUGUCACUUAUAUAUGGAUCCUCGCCGCAUUAACUACCUGGUAAGGUACCAUCUUACCCUGGCCACGAUGCAUAACCGACCUGACAGGAUGAUCGGCCCCGCUGGAACUGAUACACGACCCAGACUCCUACAGUAUGGAACAAUGGGGAAUCUUCCGCAUUGGGCGAGACCCUGACGGAACAACGCCCCUUGAGUGAAGAAGGUCUUCGGAUCGGAAGACUCUGUUAUUGGGUAAUACCCAUUGUGUUAGUACACUAUGCGCGUCUUGACCGCACCUUAUCUCAGUGCCACGGCUAACUACAUGCCAGCAGGCCGCGGAUAAUACGUAGGUGGUCUACCGUUAUCCGGAAUUAUUGGGCGUACUCCUCGCGUCACGUGUGUUUUUAACUCUGAUGAGACAGCCCACUGCUCGUCCGUGUGAGGGUCGUUGGAAACUGUGAGACUUGAGUGCAGAUCAGGAUAGUGGAAUUCCAUGUGUAGCGAUGAAAUGCACACACAUAUGGAGGAGCACCUGCGUCGAAUGCUACUGUCUGGUCUGUACCUGACGCUGAUGUGCGAACGCGUGUAGAUCACACGGGAUUACAUACCCUGGUAGAUCACGACUAAACGAUGAGUGCUAGAUGCUAGGGGUUUCCGCCCUUUAGUGGUGCAGCUAACGCAAUAAGCAGUCCGCCUGGGGAGUACGACCGCAAGGUUGAAACUCAAAGGAAUUGACGGGGACCCGCACAAGCGGUGGAGCAUGUGGUUUAAUUCGAAGCAACGCGAAGAACCUUACCAAGCCUUGACAUCGUGUGACUCUUUCAGAGAUGGAAUAUUCCCUUUCGGGGGUCACAGUCACAGGUGGCACAUCGUUGUUCUCAUCUCGUGUCGAGAGAUGGGGGUAUAUGUCCCACAGAGAGCGCACCCUUUCAGUAUAGUCCCCAUCAUUAAGCCGGGCACUUUAAGUAGACUGCCGGUGACAAACCGGAGGAAGGUGGGGAUGACGUCAAAUCAUCAUGCCCCUUAUGAUCAGGGCUACACACGUGCUACAAUGGUCAAUACAAAGGGUAGCAACACCGCGAGGUCAAGCUAAUCCCAUAAAGCCGUUCUCAGUUCGGAUUGUAGUCUGCAACUCGACUCCAUGAAGUUGGAAUCGCCAGUAAUCGUAGAUCAGCAUGCUGCGGUGAAUACGUUCCCGGGUCU